CCGAGGUGUUUGGAUGCGCGCCUUGUCCCGCCGUGGCUCACAAGCAGUUGACGUAUUUCGGGCAUCAUUUUGAGGAUUUUUCCCCUUUGUAAGGCAUUACAACCGGUGAUGGGAGGAGAGCGAAAUGUGCAGUCGGUGUUACCUCCCGCGCUGUGAGCAACGGCUGGCAUAGGCAUUUGUCAGCAGGUGGCCAGAACGGAAUCUUACCGAAGUUGGAUGGGAUUAGUUUUCACGCAUGAAACGCAAGCUGGACAGGACAUCGCGAAUCACCUACGAAGCACAGAAGACCAUGAUGGUUGAGUGCUUCAAGACCUUCUGUUUUGUUCGUCGACGCUGUACGGACGUUGGGGACACAUCACUAUGAAGUUACUGAUUGUGGAUUUAUUUUGGGCGUGUUGGUGAUGGACAGUAUGCUUUCAAAACAUGUAAGUUCUGAAUGGAGUUUUUACUAUUGUUGUUCACUGUCUUGCUAGCGUUUUUUAACUGAUUGGUGAAUAUUCACACUUUUGAACAUUUGAAACAUUUGAAAUAACUUUCACCUUUAUAUGUCCCACUUGUAAUAUUUUACUAUCUACUGUAUUGUGAUGUAUGAAGAAAUAAAUGUGCACGCAGA